GACGAACGCUGGCGGCGUGCUUAACACAUGCAAGUCGAACGGAAAGGCCCUGCUUUUGUGGGGUGCUCGAGUGGCGAACGGGUGAGUAACACGUGAGUAACCUGCCCUUGACUUUGGGAUAACUUCAGGAAACUGGGGCUAAUACCGGAUAGGAGCUCCUGCUGCAUGGUGGGGGUUGGAAAGUUUCGGCGGUUGGAGAUGGACUCGCGGCUUAUCAGCUUGUUGGUGGGGUAGUGGCUUACCAAGGCUUUGACGGGUAGCCGGCCUGAGAGGGUGACCAGCCACAUUGGGACUGAGAUACGGCCCAGACUCCUACGGGAGGCAGCAGUGGGGAAUAUUGCACAAUGGGCGGAAGCCUGAUGCAGCAACGCCGCGUGCGGGAUGACGGCCUUCGGGUUGUAAACCGCUUUCGCCUGUGACGAAGCGUGAGUGACGGUAAUGGGUAAAGAAGCACCGGCUAACUACGUG
rnacentral:rRNA from 1 species